rnacentral:lncRNA from 1 species
UUCCAUUGAAACUAUAAAUAUUACAACUAAAACUGCAUGCUUGCAGUUAAAACUGCUCUUUAAAAUAGUUUUUUUUUAAAUAAAAUUAGUUGCUUUUACGCUUAUGCACAAUAGCGGUCAGUUAAGCAGUAGAGUUCAAUUUUAUUUCCAUGAUUCAAAUCAUUAUAAUACAAAAUCCGAAUCAAUUGCUUAUAACUAAUUUCAAAUGCAAAUAUUAACUAAUUCACAUGUAAAUUGUGCAAAUAUUCAAAUAAUACAACAAUAUAUAUGUAAAAAAUACACUAGUGAUACCAAUUGAUUCAGCUAAGCAUAUUGUCUUAAUUAAUAACUAAAUGAACAUACUAUACCGAUUUGAUUUACAUUCACAUUUCUUUCACUUUUAUGCAUUCAAUAAAGUUUACAUAUCAUGUCCAAACUGAAAACAAUUCAAACAUUGUCUUUAAAUUAGCUUAAUUAACCUUUAAAUUAUGUUUUGUCGUAAUAUAGAUGUACGGGCCUAAAUUUGCCCGAUGCCCAUGACUCAACCAAAAACAAAAAUAAAUAAAAACCAAAUUUUCAAACCAAAAUAAACAGCCCAAUAAAAAACCCCAAACUCAAAUUUUAGCCCAAACCUUAAAACCACAAUCAGCCCAAUAACAAAUACAACCCAAACUAUCAAUCUAAUGCAAAAAAAUAUCAGCAGAACCCUAGGAACGUUCAGCCACUGCCCCGUGCCUUUUCGUCAUCAGUCGCCCUCCACGCGUCGUCUGACAUCUGAAACAAGCACAAUAGCAGAGAAAGAAGCAUGCGAGCGUAGAGAAAUAAAGAGCAAAAAACAAAAAAACUAAAAGGGUAACUAAUCAAAAAAACAGAAUACUCGUUUUAAAGGUGAUUUUUUUAUUUUGUGUGAAAAUUUCUGUCUCUUUAUCUUGUUUUUACUUUUGUUUCUCUUAGUUAUUUUAUUUUAUUUUAUUUCACUUACGAAAAUAAAAGGGAAAUAAAACUUACCGGAAAACCCCCAUGGUCGGUCGUCGGAGACUUCUUUCUCCAUCGGAGUUGAGCCCAAAAGGGGAGGUUGGGAAGUCCCUUUAUUUUCGGGCACUCGACCGAGGGAUUUGGGACCUUCAAAGGCACCACGAACAGAGGCUAGGUAGCCUAUUUCGCUUGUCGUCAGCCACUGAUUGUAAUGGUGGUGUGACAAACCACCGAGGGCGGCGAUGAGGGGUUCAGGACCCUAGCCGAGCUGAAGAGAAAAGGGGGUAGGGAGGCUGAGUUCUUUUAAAAAAUAAGCAGCAGAAAUCUGCCUACAAAAGGAAGAAACCCUUUUGUUUUCUUUAAAAGGUGAAACGACGCAGUGUAAAAGGGGGGGUCAUUUUCAAAGCCCGAAUGGGC